GACUUUCUUUUCAACCCCACACACCCCCACCCCCGCCGCCCGCUCUCGUGGAGAAGUGCAGGACAAAGCCCCUCUACAGACGGGGAAACUGAGGCUAAUAAACGGUGGGGCGGUCAGGCCAGUCUUCGGCCCGGGGCACCCCCGGCCUCCCGGGAGGGCGCCCCCACCCCAGCGCGGGAGCUCCCCUCGCGUUUCUGGGCUUUCAGAGGACUUUUCCUCCUGGGUGCCCCUGCCGGCUGGGGUCCAGGCGAAGCCCGGCCUCUCGGUUUACAGAGCGCAGCUGAGGCUGAGAAAGGGGCGCGUGCCCGCGAGGCCAGCUGGCGGGGGCGGGGCGGGUCGGUCCGUCCCCAAGUCUGCCCCUUCGGGCCUGUCCACCGGGCUGUUCCGGGGCUCCACGCCCCUCGGGGGUCAUGCUGGCCUGAUGUUUCUGACUUUCCACUGGGUACCUCCCGUGGGGGCCCCAGUCACCUGGGCACAUUCUCUGUGGAGCCCUGGCUGUGGCCUCGCACGCAGAUGGACAGCCGGAAACAGUGGGCAGCAGAAAUGUGAGAUGACCUCAGCCACCCAGCCACCAGGCAAGGCUUGUCCAGACAAGGCCUGCGGGAAGGAAGGUGUUUCCUCAUGAUUGGCCCCUGGCAGGGCUGCAGGGAGGCCGCUCUGUGCCCACUAGAAGGAGCAGAAACGGCUUCGGGGCCCGAGCCAGCACGUGGCGUUCCAGCUCUUUCCUGUGGCCCAGCCCGGAGGGAUGGACACUCCAGGUGCCUAACAGUGCAAGCAGAGGCAAAAUUGCACCUGUGACGGCAGUCCAAGGGGACACGCAGUGUCACUCGUUCGGUGGUAAAAGAAGAGCCCUGUCUUGGUUCAGAAGGCAGGAGGGGCCGUCCCUGAGGAGGGAGCGUGACAGCUGAGACCUGAAGGAGAAGCACAGCUGAUGUGGUCGGAGGGCAGCAAAGAAUUUCCCAGGCACAGGGAAUGGUGCGUGCAAAGGCCCUGAGGCGGGAAUGAAGGUCGAAGGACUACAGAAAGAUAAAGGCUGAGCAUACCUAUCCUGCAGCCCAAGAAACUGAGGUUCCACAAGAGAAGGAGGAACCCCCUGUUCAGCCGGGAAGACCAGGCCCCGACACGGGGUGAGGACCUGAGGACUCUGGGUCAGCACAGGCCGGCGUCCCGCCCGAGUGGCCGCCCUGGUCGGGGGCAGGACUUCCGGGCCAGUCGGUCUUGAUUCCCCCACCUCCUGCUUCCAGCACAUUCUGCUUCUCUCAGUGAUGGUGGGGGACCCACCCUGGGAGGACGAGGAGGGACAGGGCCAGAGGCAUCACUAAUCUCAAUCCAGAAGCCAACUCUAGCUUGUGUGUCCACUUAGCUUCUGGAGGACGUGUGGGCCACAGGGCCCUGGGGAGGGUCGCAGCGGCGGGGCGCUCUAGACCCGUCACCUGGAUUCAGCCCCCAAGAAACCGAUUUGACCAGGACUGAUGGGCCAAGCUGGAACAGAGUCGGGGUCACUCGCCCAAACACAGCAGGCCUGAGCCUCUGAGGCAGACGGGGAGAAGCCGGGCAAGAGGGAAUGGGGGUGGGAGGCAAGAGAACAAAGGGAGGCCCUGGCCCUGCAGCUUUCCCUGCAGGACUUCUCAGAGCCUUUAUGUCCUGCAGUACCCCAGGACUCCCAAGGGAACAGCCACACUGCACAGGGGUUCCCAAGCCGACCUGCCCACAGAACCCCUGCUGCAGGAACGUCUCACAGAAGCGGGCGCCCCGACUUCCUCAGGAAACACGGAGUGAGACGGGUGGGCUGAGGCCGGGCUGGAGUUCUCGCUCAGACACUGGUUUGCCCUGGGACCCUAUGGAAUCUGUUCAGGGUCACACAGGGCCUCUCAUCCCUGGGCGUUUAGGGAGGAAGGGGCCAGGGGUGCCCCGUGGAAAUAGGGCUCCCUGCCUGGGGCCACGCAAUCAUGGCAGUAGGAGACGCACCCUCAUGGGGGAGAGGUGACCAGAGCCCCCCCCGCCUGAGUGGACGGAAGCCCCCUCACGUACGACCUGCACAGAGAGGACAGCUGGGGGGGGUCAUACUGGCUUCACAGAACAGCCAAGGUUUGUCCCUCCCCCCACUUCCCAAGGCCACGGUCAGGUCGGCCAGGGGCUCGCUCAGGCGCUGUGGAGGCCAACGCCAUGCCCGUGGCUCCAGGCGGGAGAGGGGGCUAGAAGCUGUGACACCUCAUUUUAAGGGGCCACCCAUUAAUUAAUUAGGCCCAAUGAAUAAUUCAUGCUGCCUUGGGUAUAUUAAUAGCAUAUUUAUAUGGCGUGCUAUGGAUAGUAUACAUUCUUGUCUGAACACUUCACAAAUAAUUCAUGACCCCGCUCCUUUCCUGGGCUCCGGGAGAACCUGGCCAGUGCUGAGGCUAGGGCUCGUGGGUUGCUUCCAACAGCCAAAUUUUACAUUUCAUUAUAAAUGGCUUUGCUGGGCAUGUCAGUAACUUUUACAUUUCCAUCCACUUUAUUAUUAAUGGCUUUCCUGAACUGUAGCAGCCAGGCGUCGCGCACAAUGCGUUAUAAAUAUUUGAUCCAGCAUCUAUAGCCCGCCAUUUAUCAUUUAUAACGGGU